CCCUGCGAAUAACGAAUAUAUGAUGAAUGAACCUUUUUACUAAUGAAUUAUGAAUAACUGAUAAAUGAGAUGGUGUUCGUCAUUGCCCAAGCUUUUGAAAUGAUGUGAAGACGCUAACACUGAGAUGGUAGAACAAAUCUGCGACUAUGGCGCUGAAAAUUCAUUUCCAUUAAAAGAUUGGGGAGCUGAAUACGUAUCAUUAUUUCCAUUUUUCCUUGUAGGCUUUGGACAUGCCUGAUAAGCAUCGUUUAAUGCAGGUAGAAGUGUAUUUAAAUUUUUACAAAAAGAGUUAAUUGCAUCACUAGCUUCUAACAAAUGCUUAUAAUGAUUAUAUACCAAAGAUCUAUGGUCGACAGAAAGCCCUUGAAUCGAAGCAACCAAAGAUUUAUCACGCUGCAAUAAUUCGGCUGGUGUGGCUUUCUCCAUAAAUUUAGAAACGUAAGCAUUUGAAUCGAAAUUUGGAUCUGAGAACUCUGGAUCAACUUUAUCUAAUGCUGUUUCUUCCACUGGCGAAACGGUAUUAGAGCUAGACGGUUUUCGAGUUGUAGAAACAGUUGAAGAUGAGCUAUUUGAACCAGGUAGAUUAUAAAAGUCUCUUAAAGCUUGACGGCGUUUACUUGACAUAUUGUACAAUUUACUUAACGACAGUGCUUAAUAAA